CUCUUCCUCCGCCCGGCCGAGCGACUCCUUCGCCGACUCCGCCUCCGCCUUUGCUAUGUCGGCGUCGGCUUGGGCGAUCGAAAGCUCCUCCUCGGCCUUGGCGAGCUUCUCUAGGCUCACCCGAAGCUGCUCGCGCUCGCCUUGGAGUUCGGCGGUGGCGCCGUCCCGUUCGUGCCGAAGACGACGCACGGCCCGACCCUUAUGUCUAGCCUCCUUCUUGGCCGACCUAAGCUCGGACCCAAGCCGGGAGACCUCGUCUACUAACUUGGCCUCUCGAUCGGCCGAUUGCUGAAGAUGGUCGACCAACUUCGCCUUCUCGACUUUGGCCGCCGCCGACCUCUCCUUAUAAGCGGCCC
rnacentral:lncRNA from 1 species